rnacentral:lncRNA from 1 species
GAUUUACAAAUUAGAGGGUAAAAAAUCAGAUUUUCAUUUAAUAGCACAUUUAUUGUUUCUACAGAAUCAGUGUCUAUUUCCAGCGAAACUAGGCUUUUUAGUUCUGCUAUUUGUAGUCCCUGAAUAAGGGCUUGAAUUUCUGCCCUUUUGUUUGUUGUCUGAGGUAUGUUGUCCAUGUAGCCCAAUAUAGUCUCUAUUGUGGUUUCUGGAUAUUCCCCCUUAUCCUCCUAUUCUUGGGUUUCAUUUUGUUGCUCCAACUAUGUUCAGGUUAAAGGAGCCUCUGGAUGGGGGUACCCAUUUUAGCAUAAUCUGAUGUGUUACAAUUGUUUGGUUGUUAUUUGUGGGCAUAUGGUGCUCUGUUGCCUUUGAGAUAGUGUUGUUUGCAUUAAUGUGUUCUUUUUUGUUAUUGAAAACAUUGUUGUUUCUUACCAACCAAAUGUGUCAAAGGCAGAAGCGUAUGAAGUUGUCCCAACAGAGGCCAUUAUUGUACUUCACAGCUUUGAGAGUGUGCCAAG